UAUAAUAAUCACGCUGUUCUAAAGACAGCAGGUCGGUUUACCGCUAACGAGCAUAUGCUCACCUGCCGAGGAAUGGGAAGAAUACUGAAUUUUCUGCCCUUUUCUGUCUUACAGAGGAGGGCAUUUUUAUUAAAUG
rfam:Eubacterium siraeum 70/3 draft genome.